AUAAAAACUGGCAGGGAAUACCACAGUCAAGAAGGUGGAUUCACCAGGGUGAGGGUCUUCUAUUGCAGUUCAGUUGGGUGGACUCCUGUGAUUUUUUUCCCAAAUGUGGGAAACCCAGCUGCAUAAUUUGUGUUGGUGGGGACUGCAUUCACACUGUUUUUCCUAU